rnacentral:rRNA from 1 species
CAGUCGCCGCGGUAAUACGUAGGGUGCAAGCGUUAAUCGGAAUUACUGGGCGUAAAGCGUGCGCAGGCGGUUAUAUAAGACAGAUGUGAAAUCCCCGGGCUCAACCUGGGAACUGCAUUUGUGACUGUAUAGCUAGAGUACGGCAGAGGGGGAUGGAAUUCCGCGUGUAGCAGUGAAAUGCGUAGAUAUGCGGAGGAACACCGAUGGCGAAGGCAAUCCCCUGGGCCUGUACUGACGCUCAUGCACGAAAGCGUGGGGAGCAAACAUGAUUAGAUACCCCCGUAGUCCCUGUUUCUUAUAC